UCUAUGGCCAUACCACCCUGAACGCGCCCGAUCUCUUCUGAUCUCAGAAGCUAAGAAGGGUCGGGCCCAGUUAGUACUUGGAUGGAGAAAAAAGAAGAAUGAACAAUCAUUCAAGAAUUAUGGGACUAUGUGAA
rnacentral:rRNA from 1 species